UUAAUGCUGAGGCGUGAUGGGGAAGGCCCUUGAGGCUGAAGUACAUGAUUCCAUGCUUCCAAGAAAAGCAUCUAGAGAGAGAAGUAGUGCCCGUACCGCAAACUGACACAGGUAGAUGAGGAGAGAAUCCUAAGGCCGGCGGAAGAAUUGCAGUUAAGGAACUAGGCAAAUUGACCCCGUAAGUUAGCGAGAAGGGGUGCCUGCGAGAGCAGGCCGCAGAGAGUAGGCCCAAGCAACUGUUUAGCAAAACACAGGUCUCUGCUAAAGCGCAAGCUGAUGUAUAGGGGCUGACGCCUGCCCGGUGCUGGAAGGUUAAGGGGAACACUUAGCGCAAGCGAAGGUGUGAACUUAAGCCCCAGUAAACGGCGGCCGUAACAAUAACGGUCCUAAGGUAGCGAAAUUCCUUGUCAGGUAAGUUCUGACCCGCACGAAUGGCGUAAUGACUUGGGCACUGUCUCAACUGCAAAUCCGGCGAAGUUGUAGUGCGAGUGAAGAUGCUCGCUACCCGCGAUUGGACGGAAAGACCCCGUAGAGCUUUACUGUAGCUUAGCAUUGAAUUCCGGUAUUGUCUGUACAGGAUAGGUGGGAGACUGGGAAACUAGGGCGUCAGCCUUGGUGGAGUCGUCCUUGGGAUACCACCCUGACAGUGCUGGGGUUCUAACAGGACGCCAUGAAUCUGGUGACUGGACAUUGUUAGGUGGGCAGUUUGACUGGGGCGGUCGCCUCCUAAAAAGUAACGGAGGCGCCCAAAGGUUCCCUCAGAACGGUCGGAAAUCGUUCGUAGAGUGCAAAGGCAGAAGGGAGCCUGACUGCGAGACCUACAAGUCGAGCAGGGACGAAAGUCGGGCUUAGUGAUCCGGUGGUACCUCGUGGGAGGGCCAUCGCUCAACGGAUAAAAGCUACCUCGGGGAUAACAGGCUGAUCUCCCCCAAGAGUCCACAUCGACGGGGAGGUUUGGCACCUCGAUGUCGGCUCGUCGCAUCCUGGGGCUGUAGUAGGUCCCAAGGGUUGGGCUGUUCGCCCAUUAAAGCGGCACGCGAGCUGGGUUCAGAACGUCGUGAGACAGUUCGGUCCCUAUCCGUCGCGGGCGUAGGAAAUUUGAGAGGAGCUGUCCUAAGUACGAGAGGACCGGGAUGGACUGACCUCUGGUGCACCAGUUGUUCUGCCAAGAGCAUGGCUGGGUAGCUAAGUCGGGAAGGGAUAAACGCUGAAAGCAUCUAAGCGUGAAGCCUCCCUCAAGAUGAGAUUUCCCAUAGCAUAAGCUAGUAAGACCCCUUGAAGAACACGAGGUUGAUAGGUCAGAGGUGUAAGUGUGGUAACAUAUUUAGCUGACUGAUACUAAUAGGUCGAGGGCUUGAUC
rnacentral:rRNA from 1 species